CAAAAUGGUGAUUUUAGCUGAUUUUAUUGGUUUUUCUUGCGUAGUACUGUCAUUUGCCACGCCCCUGUGACACAUUAUGACUGACCAACUGUGUGUAGUUGCCAGGUAGACAUCACAUGAGCUUGGAUGUAGCAAAUAAAGACAAGAUGAUUUGUGACAUCACAAAUCAAUGAAUAUGAUUGCCUACUUCAGUAAAAAGCAGCAAAACGGAGUAAAAUCACCAUUUUUGACUAGAAGGGCCGCUCUAGCAAAGAAGAGACUGCAUGGUCUAGCUCCUAAUUCUGUGUAUCUCAAAACCUACAAGUAGCCUGCACUUCCGUUGGAGCUCAAAAGUUGCACAAGUAGCCAUUUUGGAAUGAUGAUGUCAUAUGAUGUAACAGGUGGUGGUCCAAUGGAAGCGCCAAUAGUUGAACUUUCAGUACCUGCACACAAAUUGAUCCAAUCACAUUUUGUUUAGGUCAUGUUUGCCAUAAAUACUGCAAUUUGAUUGGCUAAAAGAAGUGUUCUAUCCAACUUCAUGUACUUAUUUAGAAAAUCGUGUACUUACUUAGAAAAUCAUGUACUUCACUUAGAAAAUCAUGUAGCAAAGAUUAGAUAAGAACAUUCAAAUCUGAUUGGCUAAAUACUCAUGGUUGCUAUGAUCUAAAAUGCUUAGACACUGUUUAGGAAGUUUCCACAUGAUUUAGAAGUCCUCAGGGCUAGUAGAACCCUUACUGCGUUCGGGAUACUACAACCAGCCCUUUGAGCUUCU